GAUACGGAAGAAGCAGAAGUUGCUCUCAACCACAAGAACAUUUCAAUGGUUGUAAUCUCUGUUUUAAACACAGUUAGCUUUGUGGUUAGCACAUCAAGGAUGGGGUCAAAAUCUAUAAAUUUGCCCCAUAUCUCAUCUACAAUUAAGUUGCACACUCGAUCCUUUUCGUCCAAACUGCUACACCUCAAUGCCAAU
rnacentral:lncRNA from 1 species